rnacentral:rRNA from 1 species
UGGCUCAGAUUGAACGCUGGCGGCAGGCCUAACACAUGCAAGUCGAGCGGAUGAAGGGAGCUUGCUCCCUGAUUCAGCGGCGGACGGGUGAGUAAUGCCUAGGAAUCUGCCUGGUAGUGGGGGACAACGUUUCGAAAGGAACGCUAAUACCGCAUACGUCCUACGGGAGAAAGCAGGGGACCUUCGGGCCUUGCGCUAUCAGAUGAGCCUAGGUCGGAUUAGCUAGUUGGUGAGGUAAUGGCUCACCAAGGCGACGAUCCGUAACUGGUCUGAGAGGAUGAUCAGUCACACUGGAACUGAGACACGGUCCAGACUCCUACGGGAGGCAGCAGUGGGGAAUAUUGGACAAUGGGCGAAAGCCUGAUCCAGCCAUGCCGCGUGUGUGAAGAAGGUCUUCGGAUUGUAAAGCACUUUAAGUUGGGAGGAAGGGUUGCUGAUUAAUACUCUGCAAUUUUGACGUUACCGACAGAAUAAGCACCGGCUAACUCUGUGCCAGCAGCCGCGGUAAUACAGAGGGUGCAAGCGUUAAUCGGAAUUACUGGGCGUAAAGCGCGCGUAGGUGGUUUGUUAAGUUGGAUGUGAAAGCCCCGGGCUCAACCUGGGAACUGCAUCCAAAACUGGCAAGCUAGAGUAGGGCAGAGGGUGGUGGAAUUUCCUGUGUAGCGGUGAAAUGCGUAGAUAUAGGAAGGAACACCAGUGGCGAAGGCGACCACCUGGGCUCAUACUGACACUGAGGUGC